rnacentral:rRNA from 1 species
GACGAACGCUGGCGGCGCGCCUAACACAUGCAAGUCGAACGGAGCUGAGAGGAGCUUGCUUUUCUUAGCUUAGUGGCGAACGGGUGAGUAACGCGUGAGUAACCUGCCCUGGAGUGGGGGACAACAGUUGGAAACGACUGCUAAUACCGCAUAAGCCCACGGUGCCGCAUGGUACUGAGGGAAAAGGAUUUAUUCGCUCUAGGAUGGACUCGCGUCCAAUUAGCUAGUUGGUGAGGUAACGGCCCACCAAGGCGACGAUUGGUAGCCGGACUGAGAGGUUGAACGGCCACAUUGGGACUGCGACACGGCCCAGACUCCUACGGGAGGCAGCAGUGGGGGAUAUUGCACAAUGGGGGAAACCCUGAUGCAGCGACGCCGCGUGGAGGAAGAAGGUUUUCGGAUUGUAAACUCCUGUCGUUAGGGACGAUAAUGACGGUACCUAACAAGAAAGCACCGGCUAACUACGUGCCAGCCGCCGCCGUAA